rnacentral:rRNA from 1 species
UACGUAGGGUGCAGGCGUUAAUCGGAAUUACUGGGCGUAAAGCGCACGUAGGCGGAUAUUUAAGUCAGGGGUGAAAUCCCAGAGCUCAACUCUGGAACUGCCUUUGAUACUGGGUAUCUUGAGUAUGGAAGAGGUGAGUGGAAUUCCGAGUGUAGAGGUGAAAUUCGUAGAUAUUCGGAGGAACACCAGUGGCGAAGGCGGCUCACUGGUCCAUUACUGACGCUGAGGUGCGAAAGCGUGGGGAGCAAACAGG